rnacentral:rRNA from 1 species
GACCUGGCUGGGUGGUCUUGCCGAAAGGUAAGCACUGCUCCGGUCGGGUCUUUCCUUCUGGGGAACCAGUGUGCUCUUAAUUGGGUGCGCUGGGGAUCCAGGACUGUUACUUUGAAAAAAUUAGAGUGUUUAAAGCAGGCAAGCGCUUGAAUACAUUAGCAUGGAAUAAUGAAAUAGGAC